rnacentral:misc_RNA from 1 species
CGCACAUUGCGCCCCUUGGUAUUCCGGGGGGCAUGCCUGUUCGAGCGUCAUUUCAACCCUCAAGCUCUGCUUGGUCUUGGGCUCUGCCGGUCACGGCUUGCCUUAAAAUCAGUGGCGGUGCCAGUCGAGCUCUGCGCGUAGUAGUUAUAUUCUCGCGAUUGAGUCUCGCUGGAUGCUGGCCAGCAACUUCUAAUUUUUAAUGGUUGACCUCGGAUCAGGUAGGGAUACCCGCUGAACUUAA